rnacentral:miRNA from 1 species
CAUAUUAUGUUGGUGCAAAAGUAAUUGCGGGUUUUGCCAUGAAAGUAAUGGCAAACACAACAAUUACUU